GGGACGUAGCUCAGUUGGGAGAGCGCGUGAAUCGCACUCACGAGGUCGGGAGUUCGAAUCUCCUCGUCUCCACCA
rnacentral:tRNA from 1 species